rnacentral:rRNA from 1 species
AGGUUAAGUUAGAAAGGGCGCACGGUGAAUGCCUUGGCACUAGGAGCCGAUGAAGGACGGUACUAACACCGAUAUGCUUCGGGGAGCUGUAAGUAAGCUUUGAUCCGGAGAUUUCCGAAUGGGGAAACCCCCUAUCCGUAAUGGGAUAGGAUCUUUACCUGAAUACAUAGGGUAUGGAAGGCAGACCCGGGGAACUGAAACAUCUAAGUACCCGGAGGAAGAGAAAGCAAACGCGAUUCCCUGAGUAGCGGCGAGCGAAACGGGAUUAGCCCAAACCAGGAGGCUUGCCUCCUGGGGUUGUAGGACACUCUAUACGGAGUUACAAAGGAACGAGGUAAAUGAACAGGUCUGGAAAGGCCGGCCAGAGAAGGUAAAAGCCCUGUAGUUGAAACUUCGUUCCCUCCAGAGUGGAUCCUGAGUACGGCGGGACACGAGAAAUCCCGUCGGAAGCAGGGAGGACCAUCUCCCAAGGCUAAAUACUCCCUAGUGACCGAUAGUGAACCAGUACCGUGAGGGAAAGGUGAAAAGCACCCCGGAAGGGGAGUGAAAGAGAUCCUGAAACCGUGUGCCUACAAGUAGUUAGAGCCCGUUAAUGGGUGAUAGCGUGCCUUUUGUAGAAUGAACCGGCGAGUUACGAUUACAUGCGAGGUUAAGUUGAUAAGACGGAGCCGCAGCGAAAGCGAGUCUGAANNNNNNNNNNNNNNNNNNNNNNNNNNNNNNNNNNNNNNNNAGGGCGAAUGAGUAUGUGGUCGUAGACCCGAAACCAGGUGAUCUACCCAUGUCCAGGGUGAAGUCCAGGUAACACUGGAUGGAGGCCCGAACCCACGCACGUUGAAAAGUGCGGGGAUGAGGUGUGGGUAGCGGAGAAAUUCCAAUCGAACUUGGAGAUAGCUGGUUCUCUCCGAAAUAGCUUUAGGGCUAGCCUCAUGUAGUAAGAGUCUUGGAGGUAGAGCACUGUUUGGACUAGGGGCCCCCAUCGGGUUACCGAAUUCAGACAAACUCCGAAUGCCAAAGACUUAUCCAUGGGAGUCAGACUGCGAGUGAUAAGAUCCGUAGUCAAGAGGGAAACAGCCCAGACCACCAGCUAAGGUCCCAAAGUAUACGUUAAGUGGAAAAGGAUGUGGAGUUGCUUAGACAACCAGGAUGUUGGCUUAGAAGCAGCCACCAUUUAAAGAGUGCGUAAUAGCUCACUGGUCGAGUGACUCCGCGCCGAAAAUGUACCGGGGCUAAACGUAUCACCGAAGCUGUGGAUUGACAUCUU